GUUCUCAAGGCUAACGCUCCGAGCGCCCACCGCUUCUCCCUGGGCUUCCGCUGCUGCUCACACGCGGGCUCUGUGGCAAGGAAGGAAGCUGCUCUGGGAAUUGGACUUCACAGAUGGACAUCAGAACUCCUGGGAUCUUAAGUCCGGGAAAGAAGAAAGCAAAGGCUCAGGGUUUUAAGGAUACAGACGGUGAGAAGACAGCCACCUACAAGCCAGGAAGAGGGCCUGCACCCUCAUCUCAUACUUCUCAGCCUUCAGAACUGUGAGAAAUAAGCAUCUGUUUUUUAAGCACCAGUCCAAUUGUACCUUGUCAUAACAGCCCAAACUGUGAG